GGGAACAUAACUCAGUGGUAGAGUACUUGCCUGCCAUGCAAAAAGCCCUGGGUUCAAUACCCAUUCCUA
rnacentral:tRNA from 1 species